AUUGAACGCUAGCGGGAUGCCUUACACAUGCAAGUCGAACGGAGUGGCGAACGGGUGAGUAAUGUAUCGGAACGUGCCCAGUAGCGGGGGAUAACUACGCGAAAGCGUAGCUAAUACCGCAUACUAUUGGAGCGGCCGAUAUCGGUUUAGCUAGUUGGUGGGGUAAAGGCUCACAAAGGAGACGAUCCGUAGCUGGUUUGCGAGGACGACCAGCCCCAUUGGGACUCAGACACGACCUAGACUCUUACGGGAGGCAGCAGUGGUGAACUGUGGACAAUGGGGGAAACCCUGAAUCAGCCAUCCCGCGUACGCGAUGAAGGCCUUCGGGUGGUAAAGCACUUUUGGCAGGAAAGCGGUACCUGCAGAAUAAGCACCGGCUAACUACGUGCCAGCAGCCGCGGUUAUGC
rnacentral:rRNA from 1 species